GUGACGACCCCGCCGGGCACGAUGCGCUCAAAGGCGGCCAGGUCCUGCUUAGACACCGUGGAGAACGGCAAGCGCCGCACGGGGUAGCGCUCCCGGGUCAGCGGCACCUCGGGGGUCCCCGGGGCGGAGCAGCAGCCUCUGCGGGCCAGGGGGCCAACCGGCCGACCCCAAGAACCCGCGGCUCCCGGAGCACCCCGCAACAGCCACGCGGGCCACGCCAGAGGCCGACGGGGCAGCAUCGCCGCCGGGACGGAGACCUCGGGCUCCUCCUUGGUGGGGGGCCGGUACUCAGGGCCCGGAGGGGAAGGGCAGGGAGCCGCUGGCUGCGCGCCUGGAAGUGGCCAAGGGUAAUUUCAUGUUUUAUGCACGUUGUACAAAUUGAAACACGCUUGCAGAAGCAGGGAGGGGGCAGGAGGGCAGCGAAGGGAAGGCUCCGAGCACCCGGGCCCUCCCCCUGCCCGGGCCGCAACCCCGCGAGCGCGCGAAGCCCCACGCAGCAGGCCUGGACUUAGCGACGCGCAGGCUCGGGGCGGCCUCGCCGGGACCUUGCCCAGGACCCCGUUCCUCCGAGCUCGCCCCCCGAGGGGAUCCCGCGGACGCGCGCGCGUGUUCCACGCGGUCACGUGACGAGCUGCAGCGCCGUCCCCCUCCCCCCACAGGCACCGACUGGCUGACGGCGCCCGAGAUCGCGCCCCGCCACCCCGACCCGCGGCUGAACCGCAGACCGGGACCCUCAGCCCAGCGCUCCGCGCGGCCGCGCGCACGCACCCACGAUCACGUCCCGAGCUC
rnacentral:lncRNA from 1 species